rnacentral:rRNA from 1 species
UACGUAGGGGGCAAGCGUUGUCCGGAUUUAUUGGGCGUAAAGAGCGUGUAGGCGGCCAGGUAGGUCCGCUGUGAAAACUCGAGGCUCAACCUCGAGAUGUCGGCGGAAACCAUCUGGCUAGAGUCCGGAAGAGGAGAGUGGAAUUCCGUGGUGUAGCGGUGAAAUGCGCAGAUAUCAGGAAGAACACCCGUGGCGAAGGCGGCUUUCUGGGACGGUACUGACGCUGAGACGCGAAAGCGUGGGGAGCGAACAGG